rnacentral:lncRNA from 1 species
CAAAUAUGACAUCCAUGGGUUGAUUGAUAUGAUUUAUAUUGUUCCUUACUCUCAGAACUAGAACUGAGAAUGAUUUACAACAAAAUAAAAAACCAGUGGAUACAAACAGAUUCUUCUACCACAACACUGCCCGGUGCGACCACAGAAGAGACUCCUGGCACCAUUGAACCCGUGGUGCUGACAACCGAGUCUCCUGACAUGACAGGGAAGCCUGGGUGGUGUCCUGUGCGAAAGUUGCCUCAUCCCCAUCAUGGCCGACCUCAUAAACAAAAGAAACAGAAGAAGUUCCGUUUCUCUUCAAAAGAGGACACAGGCAACCAAAAGAGGACAAAGGCAACCAAGAAGUGGACACAAUACGUUUUCGAAAAUAUGUGAGAAACCAGGCUGCAACACUGAUGAUGACUGCCUUGGAAAUUGGAAGUGUUGUCAAAUUGCCCGGUGUGGGAUGAAGUGUGUGAAACCAGUGUUUUCCCAGCACUCACAUGAAGACCAGAGUAUUUCUUCGGAAGAGCGAUUGUCUUAGUUCCUGAUGACAAAGGGCCAAGUUUUGGUAAGUAGGAGACUAGGCUGCUAUUCAAGUUCCAAGAAGCUCAUUUGUUGGAGCCACUGCUGAGCCAGCAGUGCGGUUCAUUUUUGCCUACCUCCCCGGAUGUCACAAUUGUCUUAGUUCCUGAUGACAAAGGGCCAAGUUUUGGUAAGUAGGAGACUAGGCUGCUAUUCAAGUUCCAAGAAGCUCAUUUGUUGGAGCCACUGCUGAGCCAGCAGUGCGGUUCAUUUUUGCCUACCUCCCCGGAUGUCACAAGACUUCUAAGUUCCUUGAGGACAACUCGGGAGUAGAGGGGGGAACGAUAGGCUAGGGCCGUUCCGUUCUUCUCUCACUCCUCCC